CUCAGGCGGGCGCCGCGGCCACCACCAAAGCAGGGGAGACGGGACAUGCAGCUGGCAGAGCCGCAGGGGACCCUCCUGAAGAGCACGGAGAACGCUCGGGCCCCUGCCGGCGCGUGGCCUCCUCAUUGUCACAGCCCCGAGGCGGGUACACCAGUAACACCGGACUCUCUCCGCCUCUGUCCUCGCCGGCGGCUGGAGGACGUUCUCCCGCUUGGGACGUUCUCGGAGGUGGCGGGUGACAGAGCUUGCGGGUGGUGCCCCAGCCCGUCCGGUGUCCCGAGCGGGGGCUCGGGACGCGCCCCCCUGGCCGCCCCCCUCCCUGGCCGCUGGCUGGAGAAGGCCUUCCCCCCGGAGAGGAAGGGGUGGGGGUCCUGUGCGGCUGGAGCCCACCGGUGAGGUUGUCCGGAAGGCCGCAGGGGGAGGGGGCGGUGGUCAGGGUGGCUCAGUGGACGGACUGUGGGCACAGUCUGAGAUGUACCUCAGGGGUCUGAGCCCGGCCCCAGAGGUCUUUUCCUCAGCAAGGGGGACGGACGUCAGGGGUUGGUAGGUGGUUCCCAGAUGCUGCUGGUGUGGGUAGACCCCGAGAGAGACACGGGGUCACUGGGAAGACUGGAGGUGCAGAGCGGGAGCCCUGGGGCACAGCCGGGACUGACCAGAAGGCAGAAGAGGGCCCCCCCCCCCGCCCCGGGCCCAGCCACGUGAGGGUGCAGGCGGGGUCCUCCUUGGCAUUACAGGCCUUCCUGUGUCUGGCCCGGAGGACGCCUGCUGCUCUUUGGGACCCCGCAGCCCUCCCAGCCGUGCACACUCCGGGUGCGUCACUGCCCUGUUCAGACGCCCCUCAGGGCCUCGCACGGUGACGAGAACACGUUUUCUCACGGGGGCCACUCCCUGGCCUCGAGCACCCAGCUGGUGAGCCAGGUGUGGGGACCCCCAGCACCGGGCUCUGGGGCCCUUGCCCCACAGCCUCCCGGGAGUUCUGCGCGGGGCACUCAAGGAAUGGGUGCGGAUGUGCUGCCAGAAAUGCCCGAUAAUCAUCCGGAGAAGAAGCCUAAGAAGCUGCUAGAGACCGGAGUUUCACGGCCCGCAAAUGAACGCCGAUCCCGCCGACCACAGGCUUCCGACCGAUGCUGGCCGUGACGUGAGAGCGGUGUUCCCACGUGCUGGGGGCCGGACCGCUGUGGCCGGCCACGUGGCCAUCCAGGGGACACCUGGUCCCCGCACGCACGGAUUCUGGCAGAUUAUCCACAUGCUCUCUGAAAGGUCGAGAAAGGGGCAGUCGGACAGAAGGAAACCGAAUCCGGGCCCACAAAACCGUG